rnacentral:lncRNA from 1 species
CUGGCUUUUGUAUGAUCGGAUUGUUGAGAUCGGCUGAAAUAGGGGAUCGAAUGGCUGAGGGCAUGCUAUCCCAUAUGCUUCGAUGGCAGCCCACAUCAACUGUGUGAUCCAACGGUUAUGGUUUGCUCUGGUAUUUGAUCGAAUGACCAGCAAAGAAUCUGGUUGAGAAAAGAACUUUGAAAGCUUCAUUGCACCAUCCGAUGGUCGAGCUUCGAUCUGGGAUGAGAUCUAACAGUUCUGAUUCACUGUCGGUUAACAGAGGAGAUCUUUUGCAUUGAUCAAUGGCCCAAAUCAAAUCUGGCAAUCGAUCCGACAGCUGACAGUGAUCUCGAUUGUGAUAAGGAGAUAAGCAGUGAUUUUUGAUGAAAUCUGGAUGGUUCAAAUAUGAUCCGAUGGUCAGAAAAUGCAAACAUGGGUCGGACAUGUUUUGAGGGGUUUUAGAACUCCAUUUUCUACCAAAAAAAGGUAAAAAAAUUCACCUAUAAAUAAGGGGAUCUAGGAACAAGAGAAAAAAUAGAGAAAAAUAAUAAAAAAAUUAAAAAAAUUAAAAAAAAUUAAAAAAAAAAUAGAAAUCCAAGUAGAAGGAGAGAAGUCGGUUAGCUCCACAGAGUAUGAAGAAAGAAGGAGAGAUCAUCAAUCAUCUUUCCGACGAGACUGUACUGAUCAACUUCAGAUCUUUGCUAUAAUUUUAUUUUAUUAUUUUUUUAAAUUUUUUAUAAUUAAAUUUUAAUUUUAAUUAAUAUAAAAAAUUUAUUUUUUAUACUUUAAAUUUUUGUUAUUUAUUUUUAUUGCAAAUAGAUGCUAAGAUCUAGUUAGUAGAUCCUAGUACCUAAUUUAUUUUUAUACACUUUAAAUUUUUAUCUUUUAUUUUUAUUGCAAGU